rnacentral:lncRNA from 1 species
UUUUUUUUUUUUUUUUUUGGUGUGCCUGUGGAAGAAAAGCUCAUCUGCAGCAGAAUAUCAUAUUAAAGCACAUCAGUGCAGUCCCUAUGCAACACCCAGUUCCCAAGCUGCAGCGCCUCCUUUUUUCCAGAAACUCUUCGGGAAAAAAAAAAUCAACAUUUUUGUUCACAGAAUUUCAGCUGAAAAUUCUUUUGAGAUAGUCUUUUCUAUCAAAAAGCUGUCAGCUUUCCCACUGAAGUCUGGAACAGAGUCAAAGUGACAACUUUUUCCUCUGUUUUGCUUUAAAGUGCCAUAUUCCUAUUUUUUAUUUUUUUGGAAUGGAAUAAAAGCAAACAUGACACAGUUGUAUUUCCAUUCCAGCUAUCAUUUUGUUUCUCCUUUUUUUUUUUUUAACUGAGAAACAGAAAUGAAAUAUUUUUAAUCAAAACAUUGAUUUUUAAACUGUUUGUUUCAAAUACCCCCUUGGAAAACCCUUUUUUUUUUUUUUUUUUCCUGUAAAAGAACUGAUGUUGUUCUCCUUCCCAGAAAAGUUCAUUUUCAACAUUUCUAUGUUUCUUUUUCCCUGCAGGAACACUUGCUGCACAUAAGUUCAAUCUAUGCAAAUUCAUUUCUCUUCCUUGUCCAGACAUGGGCUGCAGGAUGGGUCCUGGGAAAACCCCUCUUCAGUUUGUGUCAAGGCUCUAAAGAGAGGCUGCAAUCUCACUCCAGCUGACAAGGGUGGGACCCACUGCCUCUGAGUACACUUCACUUUUGCCACAGUGUACAUCCAAAUAUCAAGGACAGUGCAAAAAUUACUGGAAUGUCAGUAGCCGCAGAAAAGUUGGGCAGCAACCUUUUGUUGGUGGCUGACAAUAAAAUUUCUUCCAGAGUUUGUGGUCAAACACACGUGGAUUUGAUAGUCCUCAGAGCUCUCUAGAAAAUCAUAUUUCCAUCAAAAAGUGAAAUGUUUAGGGCACAGUGAGAGACCCUGCUCAUUGAGGGUAGCCUUAACCUGCCUCCCUCAGCCUGAGGACCUGGCUAUCAAAUUUUGUUCAGCAAUCCAGUGCUCCAAUGUCACUUUGCAUAGGAGAGGUAAAAGCCCUUUUUGGUCAAGAGCAAAGAUCCACAGCCCAAUUUAAAGCAUUUUACUUUGGUGCCAGGCCUGUGGCAAUAUCAGUGUGUCUGCCUGCAUUUUGUUUUCAGGACUUAGGGAAAUAAAGAACUUUCAAACUCCUUAGCAGAGCUGACUCUGCUGUACAAUCCUUCUUUAUAUAUAAUCCACACAGUGAUGGUAAUGUGGCUAGAAAUAUUUGCCAGCAAGGGAUUGAGUGGGUGUGAAACGGGUUUGCAGAAUUAUUGCUAGACUAUUUAAUUUUGACUUUAGAUACAUAUGCUUCUCCCUGCUUCUGCACAUUGCUCACUUCAUCGCUUUGGCUUCACACCUUUCCUACAACAGUCCUGGUCAAGCUUGUCUGGUUUUGUCUUAUAUUCACUGUUGGUUCAUGAAGUGCUGUUUCUUGAAGGACAUUUCCAAAACCCUGGUUGCAGAUCCACCACUCAACAGCACUCUAUCCAUUUCCACUGAGAAAAACUGAUUAGUCAGUCCUCAGUUCCCUUUCCCCGGAAGGCAUGUGGAGGCAGCACACAGCAAAUCAAGAACUAAUGCCUCUGCUAGAAGAACUUUACUAAGGAUAAAUCUUGCAUAACAACUUAGCUAGAAGACUAUCUAUGUAACAUAGAAAGCAUUAGAAAAUGCCCACUGGAGUAUCCCUCAGAACUUCAAGGUUGCUUAAUGGUCCAAACAAGUUAGCAGCUUUCCUCAUUGCUAUUUAUGUUGCACCUUCAUUUUUAUAUUUUAAAACAAUCAGAGCCUUCAGCAUUAAAAGUGGCACCUGCAAUGCUGAGCUCAUAUCUGCAAUAGGGAGAAGCCCAGUAAAUAUUAUGGAGGAGAUUACUGGUGGAAAUGCUGCUGCUACUGCAUCCAUUGCAGAUCCACACACAAAAUGGCUUUUUCAACCUCAUGUCUAUUCAUCCAGACAGCCAGAUUAGCAAAGUGAGAGGUUAGAGCACCUCCUGGCCACCUGGUUUAGUGCAGCGCCUAACCCUCUCUCUGUGGUUUAGCACUGACUUCCCCUUACAUCUUCUUUCCCAUCUGUCAGCAUCAUCUUCCAACCUGCAACACAGAAUCCAGCUGCUGUCAGAGACAGAUCCAUUAACCACUGCAGAAACUUGUGCAUGAAAACUAAUUCAGAGCCCAGACCCUCAUGCCUAAAGGGAGCGCAGCUCUGUAGGUGUGGGCAAAAUGAGACACAGAAGUCAGAGAACACCAGCUACAUGAUAAACUCAUUCUGUCCUUAUGCUCUUUCUUCAAAGUAAGAGGAGAAUGUAACUCUUGCUGAUGUCAAUGUGAGAUAUUUUGUACCCGGAGGAAGGUGAGAGAGCACGAAGUAACUCCUAGCACCUUCCCCAAGAUCUGAGGAAUCAAGCUGUUGGGAGUCUACUGCAGGUGUUAAAAAACAAUCAAUCAAACAAACAAACAAAAAAAAAAAAACAGAAAAAAAAAAAAGAGAAAGGAACAACGACCAAAAAAGCAAACAAAAAAAUUCCAAAAACCGAAACACAAACAAACAAAAAUCCACUCAAUUGUCCAGAUAAGAAAGAAAGAAGUGCUGAGGCAUUUUGAACAAAAGGUGGGUUAGAAACUGAGUUGCAGUAAUAUCUUGGGAAGACAACUGCUCUCAACAAGCACUGUGUUUUUAAAGGUAGCAGUGGUAGUAGUCAGAGCUGAAACACUUCAGACAAAUUUAAAACUCAGCUCUGAUGCAGUGACACUGCUGACGGCUUCCCCAUGCACCUAAGCCACAUGAAGAACUCUCCUUAUUUGGUCCUCCUCCUGCCUCCCUCCUUUGUGCUUCAGAGGCAUCUCCCAACCUCACACACUCUCACUUCAAGAGGAGUCAGGAAUUUUUUUUCAAGGCUAGAUGUGAACCAGAGCCAUAAAGGAAAGCACUCCCCAGUUCAGGGUUAUGUGCUGCUCUUGCACAGAAUCCACGUUCUCCAGGGCCUGUAAGGUCACUAACAAUUCAUGGGUCUUCCCAGUUAUUUCAUGUGCCUGCACACACAAGAACCCUGCUAUUAAAGAAUACAUAGAUCACCACACCUCUAUGGGGUUUACACAAUACUGAUAAAAUCUAUUACCCCAGGUCAUGACAACCAGGCAAACUGCUUUUACUCAUAUUUAUACAGUUCCCCAGUGCUGGGGCCUCUGAGCUAGGCAGCCCCUGGGUCUGUGUGUGUGUGUGUGUGUUUGUAGCAGUCUGACCAAAGAGGUGCACCACACCUGCAUUACACUGCUGAAGAAACAAGGAAACCCAGAUGGGGCAAAAGUGCUCAGCACAAGCAUAAAAAUGUGGCCUCUCUGAGUGACCACCCCACCUCCAAGCAGAGGGGCAAAGGCUGUCUCAGCAGGAUGACAUCCAUGCUUCUUCCUGUGGUGGGCUGCAAUUUUCCUCUUAAGGCCUUGAAAAAAAGAAAGAAACACAUAGAAAGGUAAUCUUUCAGCAGAGACUGAUAUUUAGGGGUUAGAUUAAACCAAACUGAACAGGUUUAGCCGAGUGCAGCAGUGAAGCAGAGGUUUCAGCCUUCAAAGAAAACUUUGCAGGGUGUGUGCAAGGUGCAGCAGUGAGAAAAGCUUGGCAUGGAUGACUCUGGAUUAGUCUGGUGGCAGAAUCCAUCAGUGCACAGCUGCACUAACUGCACACUAGCACGGAUCAGUACAAUAGAGAGUCUGAGUCACCAUCACGAGCCAGAUGGAUGAGACAUCACAGUGCCAAGUCAUGGCAGAAGAGAGUGGAGCACGCAAAUGUCACCCAAACCUCCCCAGCCAGAGGGUAUGCAUAAGAGGAAAAGGGAAGCACAUCACAAAAUGGUGUGAAGCUGUACUUUACAAAAGUGGGGAAGGGCACACCAUUACAAGUAAUUUUGGUACAUGUCUAAUAAAUCAGAUCAGCUACCCUGAAGCAGAGGCUAGCAGAGAAAGAGAAGGACAGGGGCUCCAACACAAUCAUCUGGACUGAAGUCAAAAGGGGCAUAGGUAUAACCCCAGUGCUGCAUGAGACCCACUGCAACACCUAGGAAUGGACACCUUCCCAUCAAAGUGUGGGCUUGAUAGAGAACUUAUUACACAAGGCACCUGUACAGCAUCUGUUAUGCACUCACAGGAUCAAAAAUCACAAGUCUGAGAGGUAACUAGAUACCCAGUUUUGUCAAGCCAUAGACAGCCACAAAAGGAAGUCCAGGCUUACACAUAUUCAGUAUGCUGCUCAGGUCACUGCAAGCACACUUAACAGUUGUUUAGCUCUACACUGGCCUCGUUUUCUUAACUGCUUUUUUCGGGCUGCCAUUUUCAUGACUUCACCUCAUAAAGAGGCCUAUUUAGUUCAGUUAAAAUGAAACAAAUGCCACAAACAACAUAAAACAAGAUGUACAUACUGUCAGUGUUGGAUGGAAGGUGGGAUGUACCAGGCAUGCCCUCAACCCUUACAGACAUCAGAUGACUCUGUCAAGUCUUGCAUGCCUGGCGUACAAUUCACGUAAUCACCUUUUUCUCUUUGCUCUCCUGUGGCUGGCCUUGAGCCUCUGCUUUUGGUACAUCCCAACUUCUCUUCUUGUGUAACUCUCAUCCAAAAUGCAUUUGGCUAAGGAUGUCUGUGGCUCGUGUGGGGGAUUACAGAAUAAGAGAGAAGCCCCGAUGCCACGCAAUAUUCGGGAUGGUGCUGCCAGGGAGGGCCUGCUACACCACUCAAGCCCCACCUAAGUAGUUGUUCUUUUUCAAUUAAUCCUGUUCCCUUGCCCUCACACCCACACCUUAUAUUUCUGAUUGGAACGGAGCUCUGGUGUUGGGAAGGAUCUAUACACAUUACUUUUCAGGAAAAUCAAGUUGAGAAGGUAUCUAAGAUUGAACUUCUCAUUCAGAGAGAGCUCCAGGGCUUAUGCAAAACUGCUCCUCACACUGGGGAAGGUGGAAGACUCAGAUAUAAUGAACACAGCAAAAGCCAAUUCAUUGAAAAGUUGAGCAUGGAGAAAAGCAUAAAACUCAGGGACCUCAGGCUGUUGUAGCAGUUCAGUGUCAUCAGACUUGGUCUGAAACUGGACUCAGGGCAAAGAAAGGAUAGAUAGCACAUGACUGGCCUCCAUCCUCAUUCCUUAUUUUAGUCUUGGUGCACAAGAGCAGGAUGGGAAGUUGGGCUGAUCAUUAGGACGCACUUUUAAUCAGACCUUCAUGAAGAUCACAAAGUCAUCAGCUUGCGGUGACGGAUUGCCAGGGACUCCAUGAUGAAUGCAUUUGCAAAUAUUGCUGCAGAAUAAUUUCCUUCCGUCGCCAGAGCACUCCAAACAAAUUAGAUUCCCUCUAAUCACAUCUCCUGUCUGUGGAUGAGGAAAGAUGGGCCCGUCAGCACAAAUGCAUUUAGGGGGUGGGCAGUGGAGGGGAGAGAGUGGGAGGUAAGGGGUGAGGUGCAGUGAUGCAGCAGGCAGGCAGAUGAGGUGCUGGAAAGUUGCCCAGCUUUGAGGAGAGUCUUUCAGCAGUGGUGUGGAUACACGGUAAUCCCAAGCAUGUUAACAGCUCUCCCCUUGCUUGCACACACAUACACAUGAAUCCUGGAGGAUGGAGUAGGAAAAGCCAGCAAUUCACAUGGAAUUUUAUAAUGGUGCAGAAUAAGAGGAAGGAGAAUAAUGCCAGCAUCAUUUAUGCCAGAGGGUGCAGCCCUCACUGAAGUUGCAGAGAUGAGCAUAAAAGCAGUUUCUAUGAUGAGGCAAAGCUUGUGCUGCUUCCCAGUGUCUUUCCCAUGCCCUACCCCAAGCUGGGGUUCUUGAAUUAGAGAAUCAGAAGAAGAUUUGCUGAUAAUCCAGUGCAGGUGACUCACAAGAUGGGGACCUAGUUGGGAAAUGUUAAUUAGUGCCAGGUGGACAUUAUGCCAUGCUGGAGGCAUUCAACAAAGUGACAGCUCUUUUAAUUUCAACUAAGUCUAAGCAUAUUAGUUUAAGCUCUUUGAAAUUAGGGACAUAACAGGCCUCAAGUUUAAAGACAAACAAAGGAUGAACAGCACUGCUUUCUUAAAAAUGGAAAAAGCUAUAUGAAGGAGAAUGGCCUAAGUAAGAUGUCUGAAGGCUACUGUACUUCGCUACACCACAUUUAGAAUAAGUGCUGGAAGCUGGCCAGAAAUAUUAUUGCAGAGUAGCACGCUCAUGCUGAUAUCGUGUCUAUCAUCUACAUUUUUCCUGAAUGCAUGAAUUAACCCAACAAUAGCUUUCUCCUCCCUUGCCUGAAAAUUAAAGUGUCACCGCUUAGCAGCUGACCUGACAAGUCACAAGAAUGGACAAAUCCAAUCCACCGAGGUACGUCGGUAAUACAGCAAGCUGAAUAUUUCCUUUAUUCAGCUAUUCUCCAGCAUUGGCUUGAGAAUCAUUUUUGCUACGAAAUUGGAGGAGCCUGAUAUUCUGAGAAAGCUGAUUUUGCCACAUUUUCACACAGGAUAUGAGAGAGUGCAAUAUGGUGGAGAAGACAAAGAUCACGUGUACAUUCUCUGAAUACACAGCAGUAGGAACAGGCUGAGAGAGUUCAGUGAAUGAAAAGUCUAAGACAAGUAUGUAAAGAACACUGUGACACUCACUGUGCUUGCAGGCCUGUGUGUUAUCUGUUGAAGGACUUGGGAGUUGUGCUUUACUCAUUUCCCUGCUCAGAGGAGCUAGAGUAGUUUUUGGCUUCUCACUCCAUAGUUGGUACCAACUUUCUGUUCACAGUCCCCAUUUCUGGCAGCUCAGAAACUCUGCCAACAGCUCUCUACUGAAGAAAAAAUGUAAGCCCAGUCCAUGCCCCUUUUAAUUAGCUUUGAGAUCUGAAACUGAGUGAACCGGCACAGAAGAGAGAAAGUAAAGACCAAGUCUUGUUACAAAUACAGCAGGGAGCGAGCUGUGGAAUGGCAAGUGGGGGGAGCAGAGGAAGGAGAGGGGAGCUGCUGCCCAAGCAAUUGGCCUUGUUUGCUCUCCUGGAAGCCUCUGUGUGCUUUUCCUCCAACGUGCACUGGAUUUAUAUAGGGGGAAAACCCUUAUGGCCAGUGGCUCAGAACAAGGCUUUGGGCAAGAAGCAGGCAGAAUGCUGCCAGCUUCCCCUCCUCUUGUCCACUCGUGCUCCCUUUUGCACUCAGGCACAGCAGGGCCUCCUUAUCAGGUAUGAUAAGCAGCAUUCCAGCGCUCAGCUGGCAGGCUUCCAGCUCACGUUCCAAGAGCCCGGCCGGGCGCUGCCGCUGUGUGAGCACACUUUAAUAAAACCCUGAUUUUUAUCUGAACAUUUUAUUAAUCCAAGCUCAGCCGUUUGCCAAAAAAGCCAACGCGCUGACUAUGCCAAUGAGUGUUCUAUCCAGCUUCUAAUGCCAAUGUACCUCUGCCCACAGAGUCUCCUCUGCUUCACAC